GGUCAUGUGCAGAUUAAAAUGAAUUAUUUUAAUCUGCACAUGACCUCAGUGCCAAAGCUUUAUCUGUAAAGUGACCCCUAUAUGCUCUAUUAAACAUCAUCAAAAUGUUAACCUCAGCAGAAAUAAUUUAAUCUAAUCAUAGACAAAAUUAGAAGACAACUUGAAUAAAAUCACCCAGUCCAGAAUAAACAAUUGCAUAAAAUAGUGAUAAACCUGUGAAGCCAGAUAUAAAACGAUUUCAUAGAAGAGGACCUAAAAUGGAGCUGCUCACUGUUUUGUGAAAUCAAGAAAUCCCAAAGAUUACAUGAUCAGAGCAGGCAAAUACCACAGAGGCUUGGAUAUAAAGGAUCCAACAGACCAACAAUUUGAAUUUUCAGGUAGAGUCAAUUGAGACUAAAGAUACAUAUGAAGCAGAUUCAGGAAACUAUGUAGAUGAUAUUGCCAUAAUAGUUUUGCAAACUGAAAUAACAAUCUCAGAUUUUGUGAGACCAGUUUGUGUAGAUCUUGAAAGUAAAUAUGAGAGAGAACAGCUGUCUUCUGGGACUUUUGGCUCUGUGACUUUCAGCCCUACUGCUCGCUUGGGUUCCACUGAAAGGCCAGCAUCAAAUGAUGUCAUACUAACAACCAGAUUGCCAUUUGUUGAGUUUGGUCAGUGUUAUGAACUGUUUCCUGCCCCUUUCAGAACUUUCUUUACUUCUGACAAGUUCUGUGCAGGAUCUACAAAUGGUUCUGAAGUUUGCCUGGGUGAUGCUGUUGGUGGCUUGUUGUUUGAGCAGGAGGUAACAGCCACAACAAAACAGUGGUUCAUUCAGGGAAUAGCAAGCUUAAGUCUACCAUCAAGGAGAGGACAAAUGUGUUCAAGAUACCCUGUUCUUUUCACAAAAGUGAAUGAUCAUCUGGACUGGUUACAGACCUUCUAUGACAAAUAUUAAAGAGACAGUGAUGUUGUAACAAAUAUGCCAUAAUUAUAUGUGGAAGUAGUUUUCAAAUUCGUGAUUCCACUUGCUGUAAAUCAGCUUAUGAUUUUGUUUUAUCAUGGGGCACUGUUAAACUGUAAUGAAGUUUCUUUCUGGAGAAGUCAAUAUAUUUUUCUAGAAAGAG